CCUGAAUAGCACACACUGAGAGUCGGCCACAGCAGCUCUGAUAACUGAGAUGGAUAAGAGACGAAUGUGCCUACAUUAACAGAAAGCUGGAGUUUGGAGCAGAGUUGGGGAGUAAACCCAGAGUCUCAGAUCUGGAAUGUUCCUAAACAACAGUGACAACAAAGGUACUCUAUAUAAAUAUGGUUCUAAUGGACUUACUAAUGGAAUAUUGACUACUCUUUCUUUAAUCUGUCUUCUGUUGGCAAGAUGUUGAUUGCUAUUUAUUGAAUAAUUCCCAGAUUGGUCCACAUGUACCUAAAUUGCUUUUACAAUAUCAUACAUUUUCAAUUACCUUUAAUAAUCCUCAAUAUAAAAUAAAGAAUGGUCCUAUUUUUAAAAAAAAUAUUUAAAAUGACAACAUGCAAACAUAUUUAAUAUCUGUAAGAGGUGCUAUUAACUUCAGGGUUACUCAAUACUUUCCAUCGUUACGAUAUGUUCCUUGAAAAUCACAGAUUGAAGGUUCCAGUGGAUAGGAAAUCUUCAUACCACAUGGAAUGAAUUAUGUCCUAUUCUAUGAUGGUCUGUUGUAAAUAAUAAGCCCAAGAUGGUAAGAUUGGUGUCCUAAAAUUGUAGCGCUCAUCUUUAGCUGGCUAUAUUUGUCACUCCAUGUGAAGAGAUGUUUGAUCCCCGUAAGUCCCUAUUGUACCUCUGAAUACUCAUAUAUCCUCAUAUGUUGGGCUGUUUUGUAACAAACAUAGCAACACAAUUCUCUUGUUGACUGAUGGAACUGCUACAAAUAUACAACCUCUAAAUUUCAGCUUUUAUUAAAUUACAAUGUUGUCCAGUUUCAGAAAAGAAAUAAAAGUAAUCCUCACUGAUAGAUUUUUACUUCUUAUUGCUGGUAGUCUUACGGCCUUUGAAAAAUUGUGUAAGAUGUAAUAACUAUGAUAGGUGGUGUAAUUACAAAGUAUGUAUAAUUUUGGAGGUUUUUGAGUUAAAAUAGUAUAUUUUAAAUUGAGAGGGAGGUAAUUUCAUCUUAGACAAAAGGUUAGUGAACAGAGAGAAAAAUUUUGCUUUUAUUUAUAUUUUACUAGACUAUAAGUUAUUAUACAUUCUAUCAGCAUUUUCUUUUAUUUGUGUUAUAUUAUCUUGUGUGUUCAUAGCAAUUACUAUAAGUUUUGUUUAUUUAUUUUCAGAGAAAUUUUUAAAAAAUAUUUUAUAUUGACAUGUUUUUACUCCCAACAAAACUUUGUAAUUUCAAAGUAUUUGAGGUUAAGACUAGAGGUCAAACUCUCCUCACAUUUUCCUACUGAAUGAAGGAGAGUAUUCUUAUCUGCUUUUGCAGAAAUGACUUUUGCCACAAUUAAGCUUAGCAUAUGAAAUGAGCAUGAGAGACUCAGCUAUUAUUGCCAUUAAUACUCAUUAGAAAUGGUUUGUUCUUAAAAUAUAUGAAUUUCAUUGACUGUUUUGCUUGAUGAAUGAGGCUAAUUUGACAAAAUGUACUUUAAUAAUUUUAGUAUAGUAGACAAUUUCUAUAGACAAUAGAAAAUAAUGUUCUACUCUCUGAUCUCCAGUACCAUGUCUCUAACUGAGAAGAAAUAUAGCAUCCAUAACUUCUCUCUUGAUGGAGAUAAAACCUUAGUAUGAUUUUAAACUUUAUCAUCAAGAACGUCUUACUUAUAACUGAAUUUCCAUAUGAAAUAAUUUUCUUGGUAGAAAAAGAAAUAGGCAAACAUUCAUCAGGUAGAGUGCUUUAUAUUUUCAAUAUGGCUAAAACGUAUGUUCUUUAAUUUUUAUAUAUUUGUGGAUCUUCAAUCUUUCAUUCUCUAACUUUUUUAUUGGUUAAUUUCCUUAUGGAUUGUUAACACGCUUUUCAUCAUUUUGAUGCUUUUAAAUAUUAUGUUUUAUGGCACAGAUUAUGAUUUGUCUUGGCAAAUGCUGCAUGAGUUUGAAAAGAGUGUGUAUUCUGCUACUGUUGUAGAGAACACUCAAUAAAUGUCAUUAGACCAAGUAGAGUGAUAGUGUUAUGCAGCUUAACGAUAUCUUUACUAAGAGGGAGAUUUUGAAGUCUCAAACCAUAAUUGUGGAUUUCUCUGUUUUUCACUUCUGUUCCGUUGAUUUGCCUUAUGUGUUUUGUGGAUAUGCUGUUAAAUAUAUAAAAUGUAAGUACUGUUAUGAUUCUUGGAGAAUUGAUCACUUUGACAUCAUGUAAUUCCUCUAUUUUUUCCUGAUAAAUUUCUUUGCUAUGAAUUCUUCACCAUGUGAUAUUAUAAAACUACACUGGAUAUUUUUUGUUGGCAUGAUGAAUAUUUCUCUUUUAAAUAUUUAAGUCUUUAUAUUUAAAGGAACUUUAUCAUAGAUGACAAAUAUUUUGGUUUUCUUUUUAAUACACUUUUAAAGUCUCUUUUUUUUUUUUUUUUUUUUUUUGACAGGCAGAGUUAGACAGUGAGGGAGCGAGAGACAGAGAGAAAGGUCUUCCUUUCCGUUGGUUCACCCUCCAAUGGCUGCCAAGGCUGGUGUGCUGCGCCGAUCUGAAGCCAGGAGCCAGGUGCUUCCUCCUGGUCUCCCAUGCGGGUGCAGGGCCCAAGCACUUGGGCCAUCCUCCACUGCACUCCCGGGCCACAGCAGAGAGCUGGACUGGAAGAGGAGCAACCGGGACAGAAUCCGGCACUCUGACUGGGACUAGAACCUGGGUACCGGCGCCGCAGGUGGAGGAUGAGUCCAGUAAGCUGCGGCACUGGCCUAACUGGUUAUUUAGGCUAUUACAAUUUAAAGGUUUUGUAGAAUAAUAUUUACCAUGUUUACAGAUUUUUGUUUUAUUCUUUGUUUUCUUCUAUUUUUCUGCUUUUUAAAAAAGUGUUCUUGUUUUUAUUUAUUUGAAAGGUAGAUCAAGAGAAAGAGAAAGAUGGGAGAGAGAGAGAGAGAGAGAGACUGAGCGAGCAAGCAAGCUAUCAUUCAUCUAUUGAUUAAUUCCCCAAACACCUGCAAUAGCAGGUGCUCGGCCAGGUUGAAGCCGGCAGCCAGGAACUCCACCCCGUUCUCCCAAGUAGGUGGUAGGGACUCAUCAUUUGCUGCCUCCUAGAGUCAGCGUUAGUAGGAAACUGAGUCAGAAGUGGAACUGAAACCCAGUGAUUCUAAUAUAGUACAUUGUUUUUAUAUUCCCAUCAUGUCUUCUUGAUCCCUCUUAGGUUUUUCACAUUUUUGCUUAUAUUACAUGUAUAUUGAUAUAUGUUGCUGACUUUUCCCAUUAGAGCAUCAACAUGUUAACUAUUGAAAUUUAAAUUUCAUGUAGUUCCUUUCAUGUCCUAUGAAUCUGGCUAUAAUGCCUGCUUCUCUCCUCAGACUGUUCUUUCUUGUGUCUUUUACAUCUGUUAUAAUUUUUUGCUGAAAUCUAAUUACUGUAUUAAAUAAUAUUCUUUUAAAGAUUUAUUUAUUUUACUUGAAAGAGUUACACAGAGAGAGGAGAGGCAGAUAGAGAGAGAGGUCUUCCAUCCGCUGGUUCACUCCCCAGAUGGCCGCAACGGCCGGAACUGCACUGAUCCGAAACCAGGAGCCAGGAGCUUCUUCCAGGUUUCCCAUGCAGGUACAGGAGCCCAAGGACUUGGGCCAUCUUCUACUGCUAUCCCAGGCCAUAGCAGAGAGCUGGAUUGGAAGUGGAGCAGCUGGGUCUUGAACCGGUGCACAUAUAGGAUGUCAGCGCUUCAGGCCAGGGCGUUAACCAGCUGUGCCACAGCGCUGGCCCCAUAAGUAAUAUUUUAAGCAGGUCUUCAGUGUGAUGCUUCUGGUGUCAGGCUGCAUGUCCCUUCUACUACAGCAGUGAGUGCCAUAGAUUUCCCAUUCUUUUUCUUUGAGUACUCACCCUCAGAGAGGGCCUACACUCUGCAAUUCUUUCUAUUGUCGCUGCAGUGGGGCCCUGUUGAUGGAGCUCUCCUUAGAGGGACAGUUGGUGUUCUGUAACCUUCCAGUUAUAUCUUUACUGGGUCUGUGUCUUGACAUUCGUAAGUGUUCCUCCGAUGAGUUUUCUGUUUGGCUUUCCCGGUUUUUUAUCCUACAGUGUUUCCAAUCUGUUUCCUUGCUGUGUUGAUGGAUUCCUUCACCCUCUUCCAGCUCAAGGACUUUCCCUCAACCUGGAUAAAGCUCCGACAAGGCCUUUUCCCUGGGAUGUCGGUCUUUGUUUGGGGAAGUGCAGGGAGCCCAUUUCAUAGUAAUUAGUCUUCCCAUUCCUUCCCCAGAGACAUAAGGAGAACCUUCUGUUUUUCAUCAUGAUAGCCUUCUGGGGUUCUCUAGGUAAAGCCUACAGAAACGAGGGAUACCACCAAAGCUAGAGCAUGCAGGAAUUUCUUACUCAUAUCCCCAUAAAUAUGAAAAAUUAUCAUUCGUGUGUUCCUGCCAGUUUAUGGCUUCAGCGGCUUCUGUGGUAGUUCAGCAUGUGUGGGCUGUGUCUGCCAUUUCAGAUUUGGAAGUGGUAGUUAUUCCUGUGGCCCAAACUCCCUGAUAUUUAGCUUCGUCAUCUUUGAAGAAUGGGAAUGUAUAUUUUAAGCUCUUUACUUAUCAGAGCUGUAAGGUGAAGUCACCUGUUUUAUUUUAAAUUUGCAUUUCCAUUAGUAUUAUUAGAGUUGAGUGCUUUUCCCAUUCUUAAAAGGGUUUUGUUUCUAUUUUUGUAAAUUCUCUGUUCAUUUUUUUCUUUUCCAGUACAUGUGUUUUUUUCCCAGUUCUCUCUCUCUCUCUCUGUGUGUCUCUGUCUCUCUGCCCCCCCUUCCUCUCUCCUCUCCCCUCUCUUUCUCCUUUUAAAGGUUUAUUUAUUUCAAUGGGCAUAUUUACACACAGAGAGAGAUCUUUCAUGCACUGGUUCACUGCUCAGGUGGCUUUAGUGGCCGGUCUGGGCCAAGCCGAAUCCAGGAGCUUGGAACUCCAUCCAGGUCUCCCACAGGGUUGGCAAGGGCCCAGGCGUUUGGACCAUCUCCUGCUGUUUUCCCAAGCACAUUAUAGGGAGCUGGAUCAGAAGCGGAGCAGUCAGCUUAAACUGGUACUUAUACAGGAUGCCACAUUGCAGGCUGUGGCUUAACCUGCUGUGCCACAAUGCCAGCCCCUCCAGUUCUCUCUUGUUCCACAAAAAUAGCUGUGCGAAUGAGAGGCUGAAACCUGCCAGCUAUCGCAUGUUUCUGAGUUAACUGUGUUCAGCUCAGGAUUUCUGUUUGGUAUUUUAUGCAGUUCCUGGCAUAGGGCGAAUACAGAGCUAAGCCAAAGUCAUCUGAAGACUCGAUUGGACCGAAUGUCCACAGUAGCUCCUUUGCAGGAAUCUUAGCUUGACCCUUGCAUUAGUGUUUUGUUUCUUCCAUAGAAAAUGAGAGCAGGAUCUUCUAUCUGUUGAUUUAUUCCCCAAAUGCCCACAACAGCCAGGGCUAGAUCAGGUGUCUGGCUCUUCCAUGUUGGUGGCCGGGUUUCAAGUAUUUGAGUUUCAAGUAUUUGAGCUAUCUCCUACUGCCUUACAGGGUGUAUGCUAGCAGGAAGCUUGAUCUAAAAUGAAGCUAGGACUUGAAUCUGGUGACUUCAAUAUGGGAUGCAAGGGAGCCCUCCAAGGUUGCCACAUUUCUUUACUUGGUCGCUUACUUCCAAAAAGGGACUCUCCAAAACCAAGUGUUCUAAAAAUGCAGGGAUCUGGAGCUGCCUGGUCAUUUCAGAACUAUGCUGAGAAAGAGCACAACAUAUCUUCUAUACUAUGUAGCUGAAAGCGGCCUCCAUAGGGGCUAUUCAGAGUCCUUGAUAUGAAGACAUCAAAUCAGCAACACUUCUCUUCCUAAGGGAAUCAAAUUGGAGACAAACACAGGAUGGAAACAGAAUAAGACACACAUCUCCAUUUCAGUCACUGCAUAAAAAUUAUCCCAAAUGAAUAGCUCUAAAAACUUCUCAUGAUCUUGUGGAGAGAGUUCUCUCUGAGGCAGUCACAGUGAGGUGGCAUAGGAGACUUCAGUAAUCUGAAUUCUCAACAGAUUUAUCCACCGGAGGUAAUGCACUCACUUGGCUACAACUGAUGCUGGUUGCUGGGAGCUCCGUUUGGGCACUGAGUGGAGAACCUGCCCUUGGAUGCUCCGUGUUUGGGAUUUAUCACAGUGCAGCAGCUGGAUGCUGAGGUAUAUCCUGAGUAUGAGUGCCAAGAAAACUGAGUGUGAAUUCAAAGUUAGCGCAUGAUUUCACCCUAGCUGUCUCAGACUCUCAUUUGAUUUUUAUUUAGUGAAACAGCCUAAGUUCAAGGAAAAGAGAAGUUGAUGUGGGGAUGGGAAAGCUCAUUCAAAAGCAUAUGUAGAUCAGAGCUAUUGUUGCUGUCAUCUUGGCAAAAUAAUAGUAUAAGAUUUAUGUUUUGGUCAUUUUUUUUUGUUAUGGGAUUUUUAUUAUUAUUUUAUAUGAGUUCCAUUUUUAAUGUCCGGGUUCCUAUUACUUCAUAAGCCAUAUUGAAAACUCAAUGACAUAGCAAUGAUUUUUCAUUACCUUUUAUAACUUUUCAAAGUUUUUGUUAUCAUGUGAUGUCAGUCAGAUAACCAGUUACCUGAAUGCAUUUUUCUAGGAGGUUGCCAAAAAUAUGUUUCCUUGUAGUUUCUCAGUAUAGGCAACUUGGACUUCAUCACGUACGCAGCUGGCUAAGUUGCUGAAUAGGAUGCUAGAGACCCUCACUGAAGAGCCAGUUUGAGUUUCAGUACUUCACUCCCAGUCCAGCGCCCUGCUAAUGCACUGACGAAUCAGCAUAUGAGGCUCAAAUGUUUGAGCUCCUGCCACACCCAUGGGAGACCUAGAUGGAGUUUCUGACUCCUGCCUUUGCACUGACCAUGUCUGGCUAUUGCUUCUGUCUGGGGAUUAAACCACUAGAUGAAAGAUUCUCUCUCUCUCUCUCCCUCUUCCUUCUCCUUCUCUCUGCCAUUCUUUCAAAUAAAUAAACAUAUCUUUAAAAAAUAAAAAAUGAAAAAAUAUGGAAAUCACAGUGCUGUAUUUUUUAAAGAUUUAUGUCAUUGCUUGAAAAGGAAAAUUUACCAUAGUUGACCUAGUAAAGAAAUAUGCAGCAAAUUCUGUUCAUCAGAAAUACAGAAUUCUAUGUAAUUAACUGACAAAUACACUAAGGAUACAUUACAUUCAGGAGCUUUUGAGAAGUGGUAGCAUUAUGAUGAGUGUUUGAAGUCUGUUUUAUCACAAAGGAAUAGAUUGGAAAAACCUGAAUACAUUACCUGUCCUGGUAGGCGAUAAAUAAGAUGAACUCCUUAUACAAAAUACCUUUUCUCUCCAGAAAGGUGGGUUUUUACCUGUCUUAUUUGAAUUGCUUUUCUUCACCGACUGUGCCAUCUGUUAUUCUGACACACUGCAUGGGGAAGGGACAUGCAGAGUGCUGCUGUGUGCCUCCAUAGGCACUCUUUCUUUUAUUCACACAGUCACAGUUCAGGAUGCAUCACCCGCACUACUAAACGUCUUUUUUGAAAGUCAGUCAUUUGAAGAGUAGCCUCAAACAACACUUUUUUGAUACACAAAUAACUGAACAAUAUUUUAUUCUAUUUAAUAUUUUUUCCUGCAGAUAUUUUUUAGGUUUUUAUUUAAUGACAGCAUUUUUCAAAGGUACAGCUUUAGGAAUAUAGUGGUUCUUUCCAACAUACCCACUCUCCACCCUGACUCCAAUCCCACCUCCUACUUCCUCUCCCGUCCCUUUCUUCAUCAUGGUUCAUUAUUAGUUUUAUUUUAUGUACAGAGGACCAACUCCAUGUUAAGCACAGAUUUCAACAGUUCGCACCCCCCCCACACACAACAUAUAGAGUACAGUUUGUGAACAAGAUUUGCAGUCAAUUCUCAUAGUAUAACUCAUUAAGGAUGGAGGUCCUAUAUGGGGAAUAAGUGCACAGUGAAUUCUGUUGUUCCUUUAACAAUUAACACUCUUAUUUAUGAUGUCAGUGAUCACUCAAGGCCCUUGCCAUGAGCUGCCAUGGCUAUAGAAGCCUUUUGUGACCAUAGACUCCAUCAGUAUUUGGGCAAGGCCAUAAGCAAAGUGGAAGUUCUCUCUUCCCUUCAGAGAAAAGUACAUCCUUUGAUGGUCCUUUCUUUCCACUGAGUUCUCACAGAGAUCCUUUAUGUUGCGGCCAGUUGGGGAGUGAACCAGUGGAUUGAAGACCUUUUUCUCUGUCUCUCCCUGUCACUGUCUACCUCUCAAAUAAAUAAGUAAAAUCUUAAAAAAAAAAGAAUUAAAAAUGACCAAACUACAAGGUAACUAAAAAUAUGAAUACAUCAUACACACACACACACAGUAUGCAGAGAGACAUGCAAUAAAUCUGCAUACUGAAGGAGUACAAUUAAAUCAACUUCAGAACCAAUGGAAUUAAUCUAUUCUGUUCAAACCAAAGCUAGUGGGAUAGUGGCUGGAGGUGGUCCUUCAAGAAUAAUGGAGUGAGCCAGCGCCGCGGCUCACUAAGCUAAUCCUCCGCCUAGCAGUGCUGGCACACUGGGUUCUAAUCCCAGUCGGGGCGCCGGAUUCUGUCCCGGUUGCCCCUCUUCCAGGCCAGCUCUCUGCUGUGGCCUGGGAGUGCAGUGGAGGAUGGCCCAAGUGCUUGGGCCCUGUACCCCAUGGGAGACCAGGAGAAGCACCUGGCUCCUGGCUUUGGAUCAGCGCGGUGCACCGGCCGCGGCGGCCAUUGGAGGGUGAACCAACGGCAAAGGAAGACCUUUCUCUCUGUCUCUCUCUCUCACUGUCCACUCUGCCUGUUAAAAAAAAUAAUAAUAAUAAUGGAGUGAGCCUUGGUAUGAUUGCUCGUUAAAUGGGUGUACUCUGCUUCAGAAAAAUCAUUAAAUUUAUGAACUUAUGACAUAUUUUCAUGUAUUUGUUAAUUCAAUAAAACAUUAUAAAUACUUUCUGAUCCACUGGAAAAUAAGAUUUGUGCGUUAACAAUCAAAUUAUUGGGACCACUUAAUGGCAAAUGCCCUAAUUCACUUGUCACAACACUUAGGAAGUAACUGCGCAUAUUUCAACAACCCACAUAAAAACAGUACAUUCUUAAUAGAAAUCUUGUGUGAAAUAAUAUAAUACCUCCAUGGAAAUGUUCCAAUUUACAAGGUAUGAAAUACAUCAGUUAUUUCUUUUUCUCAUUCCCCUAACUCUGCUGGAUUUAAGAAUGACUAUAGUCGGUCUUACAGUUUCUUUUGUAAGAUUUAUUUAUUUAUUUUGAAAGCCAGAAUUACAGAGAAAGGGGAGACAGAAAUCAUCCAUCCACUGCUUCACAGUAUUGGGCCAGGCUGAAGCCAUGAGUCAGGAGCCAGGAGCCGUGGGCUCCAUCUGAGUCUCCCUCAUGCGUGGAAGUGGCCCAAAUAUUUGGACUGCCUUGAACUGCUUUCCCAGGUCACUGGCAGGGAGCUGGAUUGGAAGUGGAACAGCUGGGACGUGAACUGGUGCCUAUAUGGGAAACUGGCCUCACAACUGGCGCUACCUGCCAUGCCACAAUGCCGGGUUCUAGCACUAGUAAUUUUAAGGAUGGGUUUGUAUAUUCAUGAGUUCAACUAAACAUGGAUGGGAAAUGUAAAAAUAAAUAAAUAAAUUGCACAUCUGUACUGAACAUGUAUAAGCUUUUUUCCUCGUCAUUAUUCUCUAAUCGAUAUGAUACAGCAACUAAUUAAGUAGCAUUUUUGUUGAACUAAGGAUUGUUAUUAAUCUAGAGAUGAUUUAAAGUAUACAGGAGAAUAUGUGCAAUGUGCAUGUAUGUAUAUGCUACUGUAAAAGGGACUUGACUUGUGCUUCUGUGGGUUUUGGUAUCUGGGGUUACUGGAACAAAUUCCCCUUGGACAAUGCGGAAUGACUUUAUUACUACUUGGGGAAACAAAAGGACUUUGAUUCCAGUAAGUCUACAGUUUCUAUCAAAAAACUGUUUGUGAAGCUGCUUCCAUCAUCCCAUUACUUAAAAUCACAGAAGUUUCACUUUUACCCUUUUAUUUAAUGUCUACAAACUUCAUGCAUUUCAUAAAUACAGAUAUAGGAACAUAGUGAUUCUUCCCACCCUACCUGCACUCCCACCCUUCUUCCUCAUCCCUCUCCUGUUCCCGUUCUUUUUACUAAGAUCUAUUUUCAGUUAGCUUUAUAUACAAACGAUUAACCCUAUACUAAUUAAAGAGCUCAACAAAUAGUAUGAAAAGAAUAACUGCUCCUCAACUUUCAAGACAAGGGCUGUUUAAAGUCAUCGCAUCUCAAAGUGUCAAUUUCACACCUAUAGAUUAGCUUUUAGGUGCUCUAUUGGUUACUACAAUUCAGGGAGAGCAUAUGGUAUUUUUCCUUUUGGGACUGGCUUAUUUAACUAGAAAUAUUUAUACAGAACAAAAAUCUGAUAAAACUUAUGUACAGUUGGCAAAGAUAUUAUUGCUUAAAGUUAUAUGAUCUUUCUUUUCUCCUGAUAAUUAAAAUUAUAUUUUAAGGUGCUCUGGGGUGAUGCUAAAAUCAUUGUAUAUUGUUACUUUUGCAUUUAUGAAAGUUUUCUUUGUGUACUACUGGAGUUUUAAUGAACGUGUGACUAUUUUAAAAUUUAUAUGAGUGAAGUUGAAGGUCUUUUCCUUUGUUUGUUAUUUAUAACCCUUUCCUGUUUUCCUGCUGGGAUAUUUUCUUUUCACUUUUUAUUUCUUGGACUCUUUAUUCUUGGGGCCAUCGUGCCUUUGACUAUAAUGUAAAUUAAAAUAUGUAGAAAUAAGUAAAAUAUUUGAAAAUAAUAAAAUCAUGUCUUGGACACUUGGGGACAAAGCUUUGCUUUUCUAUGUGGUCACAUGUGUGGAUAAUUAUUGGUUUCAGCAUCCUGGACAUACGCUUAUGAUAUUGCACUUUCAAAAGCCGCUUGCCCUGUGAUGCAAAGGUGAAUCAUGUUUACGUCAAGAAACAGAGGCUGUUCUGUGAUGGGCGCUUUUUUCUUUUGUUUGUCUUCCUGGCAGUUAAAAGGAGAGCAUCUGUGAACACAGUCACUCUGCAAAAGGACCUGGGCUUCCUCACAGGCUUGGAAUUACGUGUCCAGUUUUAUUUCUCCUCAGUUGCAGAUUUCAUUAGAACUCCUUACAUCCGUCCCUGAAAUGGAGAAUCGUGGGAACUUCUGUAGCUUUCUUGUGAUUCCUGUAUGCAAAGCCUCAUUUUUUCCUGUGAUUAAGAUAAAGUAGCAUUGUACUUCAUCUUACUGCUUACUAAACAUUAGGUAUGACCAUUAUUAGCAUCAUUAGUGGAAACAUAAUUUCAGCAUUCGUGAGGAGUGGCUAGAGCGUUCCAGAUUGUUAUAGGACAUCCUUCAAUCUGGAAGGAACAUGUGAUAUGCACAGUCUGUGAAAAGCAUGCUAAUCAACCUCAAAGUGAUUUCUUUCAUAUACAAAAGUAUGUUUUGUGCAAUUAUAGGAGUGUAUCACAUGACUUUAUAAAAAGCUAACACUAUUUUCCAGUAGUUUUAGAUUAACAAAAAAGCUGCAAAGAUACCAUGUAUAUUUCACAGCCAGAGUCUCCUACUGCUAACAUCUCACAUUCCUCUGGUACAUUUGUCACAGUAGUAAACUGAUAUUAAUCAUUCUUAAUAUUUAAUAUACUUAUUAAAGUAUAAUUAUUAUUAAGGUUUUAGCAGUCUUUCCUUCAUUAGUUUUUUUUUUUUUUCUAUUCCAGCAUACUACAUGACAUUUAGAUUUUUCUUGGCUAAGGCAAAUCUCAGACUUCAUUUUUUGAUGACCUUGACAGUUUGGAAAAGCGCUGAUCAGGUGAUUUGUAGAAUGGUCCUCAAAUUGGUUUUUUUGUGUGUUAUCUUUCUCUUGGUUGGACCGAGGCUAUGAUGAGGACAACAGAGGUAACGGGUAAUUCGCCUCACGUCAUCCUGAGGUUUCACAUUAGCAGUGUGACUGAUCAGUGUUGAUGCUAACCUUGAUAACUGUCUGAGGUCAUGCUUUCUGGGUUUCUCCCUUGCAAGCCUAGUUUUUACCUUUUUCUUGCUGUAGUUUUUGGAAGCAACUCACUAUGUGACCCUGGUAAGGAGCUGGAAAUUCGGCCCCACCUGCUUGAAAGAUAGUAAACAAGUAAAGUGGAGUUUUCGGCAUGCAAGGUUUUCUCUUUCAUUCAGUUACCAAUGUGUGUAUCAGUACAGUUGUUUGUAUCUUUGUGAUUUAAGAAGUAUACAAUAGGUUUUGAUGUGGCAGUAUUUGUAAAAUUUUUUUUUUGCUUAAAUUAUUGUUAUUUGGCAAUCGGAAGCCCUUGCAAGUUGUCUCCUGUGUCACUCUGACUUAUCUCCAUUCUGUUCAUUUUGAGCAUUUAACUUCUGGCACAAAAUCAUGCUGACGCCUAUGUUUUGUAUACUUGCUACCUCAGGCCUACAAUCAGCCAUUUCUCUGAGGAGUGCUGGGCCUUUGAUUGGACAGUGGUAUCAAAAACCAAGAUCUGAGCACUGCUUCCAUAUCACAUUUUUUACCAAAUAAUGUUUUAUAUCCAUGAAAAAUAGUUGACCUAGUAACUUAUGCCUAAUAAGUUGUUUUGCUGUCGUAGUCUAAUCAAAGUUCUACUGCAAAAUAUACUCAAAUUUUGUCAGAUGGUAAAACUAAAAAGCCACUUCUGUGAGAGGAAAAUCUUGCUCAUUUUAAAGACCAUUAACACAACACCAAUAUAGGCAGGUAUGAAUUGCUAUAGUUGAAACCCUUAAGAAAUCCAACACUUUGGAGGCUGAAGUUGUAGCAUUUUUGGUUAAGCUGCAUCUUGAAACACUCAUCCCACACUGUGCUAGC